GACGAACGCUGGCGGCGUGCUUAACACAUGCAAGUCGAACGAAGUGGCGGACGGGUGAGUAACGCGUGAGCAAUCUGCCUUACACAAAGGGAUAGCCUCGGGAAACCGGGAUUAAUACCAUAUGGUGUAAGAUGAGCUCGCGUCCCAUUAAUUAGUUGGUGAGGUAACGGCCCACCAAGAUAGCGAUGGGUAGCCGAUCUAAGAGGAUGACCGGCCACAGUGGGACUGAGAUACGGCCCAAACUCCUACGGGAGGCAGCCGUGGGGAAUAUUGCACAAUGGGGGAAACCCUGAUGCAGCAACGCCGCGUGCGGGAUGACGGCCUUCGGGUUGUAAACCGCUUUCAGCCAUGACGCGGUAGUGGCAGAAGAAGCACCGGCUAACUACGUGCCAGCAGCCGCGGUAAUUC
rnacentral:rRNA from 1 species